rnacentral:rRNA from 1 species
GUAGGUGGCAAGCGUUGUCCGGAAUUAUUGGGCGUAAAGCGCGCGCAGGCGGGUUCCUUAAGUCUGAUGUGAAAGCCCACGGGCUCAACCGUGGAGGGUCAUUGGAAACUGGAGAACUUGAGUACAGAAGAGGAAAGCGGAAUUCCACGUGUAGCGGUGAAAUGCGUAGAGAUGUGGAGGAACACCAGUGGCGAAGGCGGCUUUCUGGUCUGUAACUAACGCUGAGGCGCGAAAGCGUGGGGAGCAAACAGGAUUAGAUACCUUGGUAGUCCACGCCGUAAACGAUGAGUGCUAAGUGUUAGGGGGUUUCCGCCCCUUAGUGCUGCAGCUAACGCAUUAAGCACUCCGCCUGGGGAGUACGGCCGCAAAGGCUG